AACAUUGCAAAAAAAAAAAAAAGGAUCAUAUCUGUAUUCUCAGUUACAUCUAAAUGGGGACGAAAAUAGUAUAAUGGGCAAAGUGGUGGUAAGUGCCAGGAAAAUAUGAAGUAGGACAAGGAGACACCGAGUGCUGGGGGAAGGAGGUGGGCUACCUCACAUGGGGCAUCAGGGAAAAUCAGAAGGAAACAAUGGAAAGAGCCACGAGGCUGACCAUCUGGGCAGAGUGAUGCACCACCAGCGAGGGAAAGUACUUCAACAGGAGCGUGCUCGGCGAGUUCAAGAACGGGUGAAGAGGACAGCGUGUGCUGGUGCAGAGUGGCAGGGGGAGCGUGCUGGAGGAUGGGGCACUGGAGCCACGUCACACGGGGUCUGAUCCAGCCCUUUGUCCGGAAUGUUUCCUGUACGUGCCCUGCCAGUCAGCGGGCCGGGCUGUCGCCGUCAGACUGUGUGUCUACACCAGACUCCUGGAGACAACAGCAUGCUUAUGUCACAAGCCACAUCUGUCAUGGCAGGAUCUGUGUUUCUCCUCAGGUUAAUAAUAUCUGAUGCAGGCACCAGGGCUCCUUCCCUUAAAAGCAAGGACACCAGCUUAGGAAGAGGUGCUUCAAAGAUCAAAACCGGGUCUGUGACAGUGACGGGUGGGUGUGUGAAUUGGCAAUGGCAGUGUCAAAUCUCUCCUGAAGCGAGGAAAAGGCCCUUGGCUGGCAGAAACGGAGCCUGGGGUAUUGCUGGCUCCAGUGAGGGAGACACAUUUUGCAAAGUAGCCAUGUUCAUGGGCGCUGUUUCAUGCAGUCUUGUACAGAAUGCUAGAAAAAUAACCAAGGAAGGAACCGGCAACACGUGAGAUCUAUACGUUAGGAGAUGAGAGCAGAGAAGCAUUGCCUCUUCCCAGCUCUCACUUUGAGGAGAGAUUGUUUUGCUCUGGAUGGGCUGGGUGGUUUUAAUUCCUAAUAGGGAUCACAAGUAAGCAGGAGCUAAAGACUGAGAUUCAGACUUGGUAAGAUGAUGAUGAUGAUGAUGAUGAUGAUGAUGAUGAUGAUGAUAACUAUGUUCAUUUAGAGACCUUAUUGUUUAGAGGCUCAAAUAAUAAUAAUAAAAUAAUAACAUAUUA